rnacentral:rRNA from 2 species
UGGUGCCAGCAGCCGCGGUAAUUCCAGCUCCAAUAGCGUAUAUUAAAGUUGUUGCAGUUAAAAAGCUCGUAGUUGAAUUUCGGGGUUAGUAAGUUGGUCAUGCCUCCGGUAUGCACUGGCUUUACUGAUUCCUCCUUCUUGAUGAACUGUAAUGUCAUUAAUUUGGUGUUGCAGGGAAUCAGGACUGUUACUUUGAAAAAAUUAGAGUGUUUAAAGCAGGCAUACGCUUGAAUACAUUAGCAUGGAAUAAUGAAAUAGGACGUUUGAUCCUAUUUUGUUGGUUUCUAGGAUUGACGUAAUGAUUAAUAGGGAUAGUUGGGGGCAUUAGUAUUCAAUUGUCAGAGGUGAAAUUCUUGGAUUUAUUGAAGACUAACUACUGCGAAAGCAUUUGCCAAGGAUGUUUUCAUUAAUCAAGAACGAAAGUUAGGGGAUCGAAGACGAUCAGAUACCGUCGUAGUCUUAACCAUAAACUAUGCCGACUAGGGA